CGAGUUUCAGACAUGACGCGGUACGCCUCGUGUGUUUUAAUUCUCUUCAUAAUUUUGAACUCAUCUUGCCUUUUGGCCACCAAAACAGGAUGGUAUAAUGACUGUACACUUGUAAUAUAUAUCUCUGACGCGAUUGAUACUCAGACGUUUGAAACAAAUUUCUUUGAUUGUGACGAUCUGGUAGAAAUGCAGAAACGAUGGUGCAACCAUUAUAAAGAUCAUCAGCUAGUUUUCUAUCGAACCGAAAUACAACAUCACGACAAAAUUGAACACACAGACUGGCAAGCAUGUCAAAAGCGCGGUAGCAAUGUCUCGUUUUACAUCACAAUGGGUUUGGUAUGUACAUUCGGCCUUUUCAUGCUGAUUUUCCUGCUAACCCAUAAAAAGGACAAAUUCAUGCGCAAACGUGAAGACGCCGCUAUUGCAAUCGUCCAGAAUGGCAACAAUCAACCGCGAGCUGCCAAUUCGGAUAUCAAUGCACCGGACAUCAGCUUCACCAUGACUGGCGCCAAAGAUGACCACAAAAAUAAUCCAUUAAUAUAGUUAAAC